rnacentral:rRNA from 1 species
GUUAGGAAUAUUGGACAAUGGGCACAAGCCUGAUCCAGCCAUGCCGCGUGAGUGAUGAAGGCCUUCGGGUUGUAAAGCUCUUUAGUCCACGAAUAUAAUGACUGUAGUGGAAGAAUAAGCCCCGGCUAACUUCGUGCCAGCAGCCGCGGUAAUACGAAGGGGGCGAGCGUUAUUCGGAAUCACUGGGCGUAAAGCGUGCGUAGGCUGUUUUGUAAGUCAGAAGUGAAAGCCCAGGGCUUAACCCUGGAAUUGCUUUUGAAACUACAAGACUCGAAUUCGGGAGAGGAUAGCGGAAUUGUCAGUGUAGCAGUGAAAUGCGUAGAUAUUGACAGGAACACCAGUGGCGCAAGCGGCUAUCUGGACCGAUAUUGACGCUGAGGCACGAAAGCGUGGGGAGCAAACAGGAUUAGAUACCCGUGUAGUCC